CGGCACGGGUGAGUAACACGUAUCCAACCUGCCGUCUACUCUUGGCCAGCCUUCUGAAAGGAAGAUUAAUCCAGGAUGGCAUCAUGAGUUCACAUGUCCGCAUGAUUAAAGGUAUUUUCCGGUAGACGAUGGGGAUGCGUCCCAUUAGAUAGUAGGCGGGGUAACGGCCCACCUAGUCAACGAUGGAUAGGGGUUCUGAGAGGAAGGUCCCCCACAUUGGAACUGAGACACGGUCCAA
rnacentral:rRNA from 1 species